rnacentral:rRNA from 1 species
UACGUAGGGACCGAGCGUUGUCCGGAUUCAUUGGGCGUAAAGAGCUCGUAGGCGGCCACUCAAGUCGAAUGUGAAACCUCGAGGCUUAACCUCGAGCCUGCAUUCGAUACUGGGCGGCUAGAGUCUGGUAGGGGGAUCUGGAAUUCCUGGUGUAGCGGUGGAAUGCGCAGAUAUCAGGAGGAACACCAGUGGCGAAGGCGGUGCUCUGGGCCGGAACUGACGCUGAGGAGCGAAAGCGUGGGGAGCAAACAGG